GCCAGUGUGGCGUAAUGGUUUGAGUGUUGGACAACAACUCUGGAGACUGGGGUUCGAAUCCCAGCUCAGCCA
rnacentral:tRNA from 1 species